AUCUUUUCUGGAUCCAUUCUUCACUUGUGGGGAAUCUGGGUUGUUUCCUGUUUCUGGUUAUUACAAAGAAGACCACUAUGAACAUCAUGGAGCACAUGUCCCUCUGUUAUGGUGGGACAGCUUUUGGGUAUAUGCCCAAGAGUGGUAGGUGUUUUUCCAGUUUUCUGAACAAUUACCAGAUUGAACUGCAGAGUGGUCAUGGCAGUUUGCAAUCCUACCAGCAAUGGAAGAGUGUUCCUCCUUCUGCACAUCCUUACCAGCAUCUGCUGUCACCUGUGUUUCUUAUCUUAGCCAUUUUGAUUAGUCUAAGGUGGUAUCUCAGGGUUUUUGAUUUGCAUUUCCCUGAUGACUAAUGACUUUGAACACUUCAUUAAGUGCUUCUCAGCCAUUCAAGAUUCCUCAGUUGUAAAUUCUCAGUUUAGUUCUAUACCCCAUUUUUUGAUUGGGUCAUUUGGUUGUUUGGAGGUUAGCUUAUUGAGUUCUUUAUAUAUUUUGGAUAUUAGCCCUCUAUUAGAUGUCAGUAGGUGAAUUUUUUCCCCAGUCUGUAGAUUGUCUAUUUGUUCCAUUGACUGUCCUUUGCUUUACAGAAUCGUUUCAAUUUCAUGAGGUCCCAUUUAUAAACUCUUGUUCUUAGAGCCUGAGCCAUUGGAUUUCUAUUCAGGAAUUUUCUCCUGUGAAAAUGAGUUUGGGACUCUUUCCCACUUUCCCUUCUAUUUGAUUCAGUGUAUCUGGUUUUAUAUUGAAGUACUUGAUCCAUGUGAACUUGAGCUUUAUGCAAAGUGGCAAAUAUGGAACUAUUUUCAUUUUCAACAUACCACCUGACAAUUAGACCAGCAUCAUUUAUUGAAGAUUCUUUCUUUUUUCCAUGUACUUUUUUGGCUUCUUUGUCAAAGAUCAAGUGUUCAUCAUGUAUGGGUUUAUUUCUGAGUCUUCAAUUCUACUCCAUUAUUCAGCAUGUUUGUUACUGUACCAGUAUCAUGCAAUUGUUAUCACUAUUGCCCUGUAGUACAGCUUGAGGUCAGAGAUAGUGAUUCACCCAGAUGUUCUUUUAUUUUUAAGAAUGGUUUUCGCCAAGGUGGUUUUAUUUUUAUUUAUUUAUUCAUUUCUAGUUUUUCCACAUGAAAUUGAGAGUUGUUCUUUACGUGAUUUGAAAGACUGUGUUGGAAUUUUGAUGGGUAUUACAUUGAAUCGGUAGAUUGUUUUUGGUAGGGUAGUCAGUUUUACUCUGCUAGUUCUACCAAUCCAUGGUCAUGUGACAUCUCUCCAUUUUCUGAGGUCAUAUUUGAGUUCUUCCUUGAGAGACUUGAAGUUAUUGUCAUACAGGUUUUUCACAUUUUUGGUUAGAGUUAACCCAAGAUAUUUUAUAUUAUUUGUGACUAUUGUUAUGGGUAUUGUUUCUCUAAUUUCAUUUUCAGCCUAUUUAUCAUUUGUAUAAAGGAAGGUUACUGAUUUGUUUGAAUUAAUUUUAUAUCCAGCCACUGUGCUAAAUUUGUUUUUCAGUUCGAGAAGUUCUCUGAUCGAAUUUUUGGGGUUGCUUGUUUAUACUAUCAUAUAAUCUGCCAAUAGUGAUACCUUGACUUCUCCUAUGCCAAUUGUCCCCCUUGGUCUCAUUUUGUUGUCUUACUGCUCUAGGUAGAACUCUGAGGACUAUAUUGAAUAGAUACAGGGAGGGUGUUCAUCCUUGUCUUGUCCCCGAUUUUAGUGGGAUUGCUUCAAGUAUCUCUCCAUUUAAUUUGAUAUUCGCUAUUUGAUUUGUGUGUAUUGCUUUUAUUAUGUGAAGGUAAGUGCCUUGAAUUCCUGAUCUCUCCAAUACUUUAAACAUGAAAUGGUAUUUUUGUCAAAUGCUUUUUCAGCAUCCAAUGAUCUGAUCAUGUGAUUUUUUUUCCUUGAGUUUGUUUUUAUAGUGGAUUACAUUAAUGGAAUUUUGUAUAUCGAACCAUCCCUGCAUCUCAGGAUUAAGCAGACUUGAUAGUUGUGAAUUAUUAUUUUGACAUGCUCUUGGAUUCAAUUUUUUAGAAGUGUCUUGAGUAUUUUUGCAUCAGUAUUCAUAAACAAAACUUCUCUUUUUGUUGGGUCUUUGUGUUUUAGAUAUCAGAGUAACUGUGGCUUCAUAAAAUUAAUUGGACACUGUUCCUUCUGUUUCUAUUUUAAGGAAUAGUUUGAGGAGUAUUGGAAUUAGCUCUUAUUUGAAUUCUGCACUAAUGUCAUCUGGCUCUGUGUUUCUUUCUUUAUUUCUUUAUUUUUUUUUUUUUGGUGGGGGGGAAUUCAUGACUUCAAUUUCCUUAAGGGAUAUGGAAUUUUCUAGUUCGUUUACCUGGUUUUGAUUUAACUUAUGUUUUCGUAUCUGUCUAAAAAGUUAUCCGUUUCAUGUAGAUUUUCCUAUUUUAGUUUUCCUCAGUUUCUGUUGUUAUGUCUCCCUUUUCAUUUCUUUAAAAUGGAUAUGUUUAUAGAGAGUAAUUUUAGAUUUAGAGUAUGUAACUUGUUUUUGAAUUUACAAAAAAUCACAGAUAACAUAUUUACUUGAGUUUCAGAUAAUACAGCUUUGCACUAUAUUUAGAAUUUUUAAAGAUUAAGGAGACCCUUGAAAUUGUAUUGUAUUUUGCAUUUUGUGAUUAAUUUUAGACUUCACAGUAGGGGAAUUAAAUUAUGAUUUAAUGUAUUUUGUUUUUGAAUCAAGUUGAAAAACAUUAGAGUUAUGUUGACUAACCUGCAAUAUUAACUUGACAACAUCAAGUUAAUAUAAUAACAAAAAGGAGAUGGGCUUCAGAACUUGCAUUUGUGUCCAAGCUGAGGUUAGCCUAUUUCCUAAUAAAAUUAUGAAAAAAAUAUAGAAAGAUGAAGUGAGUUAAGCACAAGCAUUCGUUUCCUUUUGCUUUCUAAUUGUGACUGCUUUGUGAGCAGUUUCCUUAUACUCCUACAGAUAUGAUUCCCCUGCUAUGAUGAACUGUAUUACAGAACUCCGAGACAAAAUAAACCCUUUUUCCUCC
rnacentral:lncRNA from 1 species